rnacentral:ncRNA from 1 species
UGAAUCAAAGUUCUAUUUUUGUUGUUGUUCUUAUAUCAUUUCUGUGUUAUUGUGGAGAUUAUGCUGGUUAUAUUACUGUUAUUCUGCCAUUUCUAGCAUUUUAUUUCUAUUCUACAUAUUAUUUAUAUCUGGUAUCUUGCAGAGAGAGAGUCUUCAUGGGGCAAUUGUCACUGUUUAUGUACCCGAACCUGGGUGAUCUAUCCAUGACUAGGAUGAAGCUUGGGUGAAACUAAGUGGAGGUUUGAACCAACUCAUGUUGAAAAAUCAGCGGAUGAGUCAUGGUUAGGGUUGAAAUUCCACUCAAACCUAGAGCUAGUUGGUUCUCCCCGAAAUGCAUUGAGGCACAGUAGUCGACUGGACCAUCUAGGGGUAAAGCACUAUUUCGGUACUGGCCACGAGAGCGGUACCAAAUCGAGGAAAACUCUGAAUACUAUAUUUCCCUAAUAAAAGGGGUAAAGGUUAGCCUGUGAGAUGAUGGGGGAUAAUAUUCAUCAUCGAGAGGGAAAAAACCCAGAUCAUCAGCUAAGGCCCCUAAAUAAUCGCUCAAUGAUGAAGGAAGUACGAGUGCAAAGACAACGAGGAGGUUUUCCUAGAAGAAACCAACCUUGAAAGAGUGUGUAAUAGAUCAUUGAUCGAGCGCUCUUGCACUGAAUAUGAAUGGGACUAAGCGAUCUGCCGAAGUUGUGGGAUGUAAAAAUACAUCGGUAGGGGAGCGUUCCAGCUCAGAGGGAAGCACCAGCGUGAGUAGGUGUGGAUGGAGUGAAAGAAAGAAUGUCGGCUUGAGUAACACAAACAUUGGUGAGAAUCCAAUGCCCCGAAAACCUAAAGGUUCCUCCACAAGGUUCAUCCAGGGAGGGUGAGUCAGGGCCUAAGAUCAGGCCGAAAGGUGUAGUCGAUGGACAAUAGGUUAAUAUUCAUGUACUACCCCUUGUUGGUCCCAAUGGAUGAAGGAGGAUAGCUUAGCCGAAAUAUGGUUAUCGGUUCAAGGAUGCAAGGUGACCCUCUAUACAUUGAUUCAAAGGUAAAAUAAGAAUCAAAUAUAGGUGUGUAGAAGGUGAGGUUGGGGGUGGAUAUUCCUCAUCAUCUACUCUAGCACACAAAAAUCCAAGAUGGCUUAUCCAA